rnacentral:rRNA from 1 species
GAUGAACGCUAGCGGGAGGCUUAACACAUGCCAGCCGAGGGAGAAGUUGUUUUCGGUCCACGGACACCGGCGGACGGGCGGGUAAGAUAUAUGCAAGUUGCCUCUAUCAGUGGGAGAACCCGGGGCAAGCCGGACUAAUACCGCAUAACAAAUGGCUCAGCAUUGAUUUAUUUUAAAAGAUAUAUCGGAUAGAGAUUGGCAUGCGUAGGAUUAGUUAGUUGGUGAGGUAACUGCUCACCAAGACGAUGAUCCUUAGGGGGCCUGAGAGGGUGGUCCCCCACACGGGUACUGGGCCCAGUGCCAGAGUGCUACGGGCGGCAGCAGUGCGGAAGAUUGGACUGUGGGUGAGAGCCUGAUCCAGCCAUCCCGCAUGCAGGAAGACGGCCUUAGGGGUGGUAAACUGCUUUUAUACAGGAAUAAUCCUACGCACGUGUGAGUAGUUGAAGGUACUGGAAGAAUAAGCAUCGGCUAACUACGUG